rnacentral:rRNA from 1 species
AUACGUAGGUGGCAAGCGGUUGUCCGGAUUUAUUGGGCGUAAAGCGAGUGCAGGCGGUCUUUUAAGUCUGAUGUGAAAGCCUUCGGCUUAACCGAAGAAGGGGCAUCGGAAACUGGGAGACUUGAGUGCAGAAGAGGAGAGUGGAACUCCAUGUGUAGCGGUGGAAUGCGUAGAUAUAUGGAAGAACACCAGUGGCGAAGGCGGCUGUCUGGUCUGUAACUGACGCUGAGGCUCGAAAGUAUGGGUAGC